GGAACUGCAGAGCUUAUUUUAACCAACAUCCCUCACUGAUUCAUCCAAACCGUUCUUUGGAAUUCCUCUACUCUGUUGCCAUUGACUAAAACAUUAAAAAGCAAGUUAUUCUGAGGGAACAAAAAGAAAAUGAAACACUGAAGAGGGUAACUGAAUUUCAGACUCUGGAUCUGUGUUUGAAGACAUCUCUGUCCAGCAGUUGGAAAACCUCUUACAA
rnacentral:lncRNA from 1 species